UAAAAAUAUCAGCUAGAGCUAGUCCAAGGCUCCACGCACUUGAGUUUGAUUUGAAUGUCGGUGUGGCUGAUUAGUGGCUCUCGUGAAGCUUUUGAACAAGAUUUCAGAAGUUUCAUCCCAUGGGAACUUAACUUCGACUCUUCACAUUAUCAUUUUCAUACACUGUAGUGGUGCAUUCCGCUCCUCUAGGGUUUCUCCGUUUCUUCUCCUCUACAAUCUCUACCUCUGAGAUUCGCUCACACAUAUUAUGCCAACUCCAACUUUCGCCAAUACCUAGAAUUCGAACUUCGUAACUGCUUUCAUGGACUGAUUCUCUGUUCCUGGCAGCUCUCUCCGAUCCUCUCAUCUCAAUCCUUCUCCUCGGAAAACAUGGAGAAGCCGUUCUCUCUCCGCCGGUUGCAAGAGGCCAUUUGCGAACGAAUAGAUCCGUAAUUCUCUGUUUGGAGCAGGAUCUCCGACGAUUAUCCGGACCUUGUUUCCCCUCCGAGAGGUUGAGCCGCCUCGAAGGAAGUAGCAGGCCGUGGUUCCUCUCCACGUCUUCCAUCGUCUGAUUCUUUCUGUGAUAGCUGGAGGCUUUUUUUUGCCUUUUUGAGAAAAUAACUGACUUAGGUAUGGAGUGUCAAACAAGCCUCAUCCUUUGGUUCUGUCCUCACCUGUAAGUCUAGACUGUUAAUCUUGUAACAUAUACAUAUAUUCAUUUAAAGAAAGCAAUUAAAAGUUCCAAGGAAUCAUGUGAAUACUGUGUCCAUAGACAAGCAUAUAUAAGUUUCUUUCAGGACCUAUAUCUGAAAAGCUUGACUUGCUAAGUAUCAAGUCUGGUAAUAUCUGUUUUUGAAAUUUCUAAUGAGUGGAGAAGUUAGUUCUAGAAUAGUUUGGAGGAAAUAUUUCGGAAGUAAUCAGGGAAACACUGUUGAAUUUGUAUAAUGUAGAUAUGUACUAGGUUGAUGAAAUUGAAUUGGUACCUCAUUAUGUGAAGGUCGCCUUUGAGAAAUCACUCAGCUUCAAAUUAAUACAGAAGUUACAGUGAGCUAAUAAGGUUAUAAGCUAGAGUCGUAGAAAAAAACUAAAAUUUUAGUAAGCUCAAGUAGUUAUAAGGUCGAAAAUAUUUCUUCAACCCAGAUUGGAAGUAAUUUGGAAAAAGGAGUUUGAGCCCUAAAGGAAAAUGCUGCAUAUUUUGUUUUUGAAUAUGAACACGUGUUUAAGAUAUGACAUGUUCUAAUUAUAACAUAUUUGCAAUAUCUGAUGUUAGCAAGUCAAGCUUUUUGUUGAACAAUACGAAUGGCAGAAGCUGCUGAAAAUUGCAAAAUGGCCGAGGCCAGUGGGAAAUGUCUAAAUUUUAUGGAGUGAUAAUAUAAGUAUUUCUCACUUGAGAAGGAGAUUUCUUGAGAACUCAACUCAGAAUAUUAAAGAUCAUUUUGAUUUGGAAACCUGAUUCCAAUCCCUAAACCCUCCCAGAUUGAUCCUGUUUGCAUUUGCCACAACUUGAUUGAACCCCGAGGAUCUUGUUCCCUUGUCCAGUAUAUCUACGAAUAUCUCCUUUUUAUUAUCUUAUAUUUUCUAUCUACAAGUCCAUAGGAAAAAAGAUUGAAAAAGAAGAGAAUGCAUGUGUUUUAAAACUCGUUAGAGGUCAAGGAGGUUCUUCUUGUUCGAGCUCUGGAUGAAAUGGAGGUAAUUGAUGGUAAAAAUAGUUACUAAUAUUUUUGCUUGUAGCUUGUCAUCAAUGUACAAUCUAUCUAUUACCACGAAAAAUGUUUUGUUUGUCCUUUCAUGUUGGGGUUUUGCAUAAGUGCUGUUUUAUAUCAUAAUUAUAGCCAUUGCCAUUUUGCAUGGUUGCGUUAUUGUGUAUUUUACCCCUGUGCUUAUUACUUACUAGUCUAUGAAAUAAAAGUCCUAUUAUUCGGUGUGCACACAAGUAGUAUUUGUGGACUGGAAGGUAUUUUCAGCUUCAAUCUCUCACUUCGUCUUAAUCUUAUCCUUAAGGAAUUCAAUGACGUGGAUUUUCUCAACUGUUUCUUGUCGGUGACUGAUUGGUCUUAUAUAUUGACUGAAUGAGUUCUGGUUUGUUAAAUUACUGGUGGGGUAUGAGACUCGUUGACUUUUUUUUUUGACUGUUUCUUGUUGGUGACUGAUUGUUCUUAUAUAUUGCCUGAAUGAUUUCUGGUUCGUUGGUUCAAUUACGGGUAGGGUAACCAAUCUCAACCUCUCUUGUCGAAACUUUGUUUGGUUAAAGGGGAAUGUAUAUUAAUUCCGGCAUUAGAUGCUGAAAAAUGUGGAAAUUACAUUGAUCAUAUAAAUUUCUGAUAAUACAUAAAAAUGGCCAUCCUCA